GAGCCGGGAAACGAGGAGCAGAUUCGACAAUCUCGUAAGGUUAUCAACCUGCUCAUCAAGAAUGUUAAGAAUAUGAAGGAGGCAAGGAGACUGGUCGCGAUGUAAGUAUUACAGUCGGUAGGUGAGUGGUGAACGGCAGGAAGACUUUAGGAGAUUCCUAUGAAGGAAUACCGAUCCAUACAAAGAUGAGAUACCAAGACUGGCAUAACUUGUGUCUUAUACACCAGUACCAAUCGAAGUAUCGUACAGUCGCCCACCAUCUAACUUGGACACGAGGACACGUCCGAGAUACGCGGCCGAGAGACCCGAGGCAAUGUAGAGGCACGUCCGGAUUCAUCGCCUAUCACGGCGGAUUCAUCGCCUAUCUACCACCUAUCUACGUUGGGAUAGGACCGCCCUUCAACAGAGAAAGGGUCAGUUCGAUGGGGUCAACGCCCCAGGAGCUCCAGGCAGUCCUACACGCACUUCAAUCCUUCAACGGUCCUGCAGGCCUACGACACCAAGUCGUCCGGGUGAAUACUGACAAUCUCAAUUGCGCCA
rnacentral:lncRNA from 1 species